AGUUAAAUGGCUGGAUCAUAUGGAUAUAUUAUUAACUUUUUAAGAAGUUGAAAAACUUCUUUCCAAAGUGUUUGUACCACAUACUUUCAACUAGUAGU
rnacentral:pre_miRNA from 1 species